rnacentral:rRNA from 1 species
UACGUAGGGUGCAAGCGUUGUUCGGAAUCAUUGGGCGUAAAGCGCGUGUAGGCGGUUUGCUAAGUCUGGUGUGAAAGCCCGGGGCUUAACUCCGGAAGUGCACUGGAUACUGGCAAACUAGAGGACGAGAGAGGAUGGUGGAAUUCCUGGUGUAGGGGUGAAAUCCGUAGAUAUCAGGAGGAACAUCAGUGGCGAAGGCGGCCAUCUGGCUCGUUUCUGACGCUCAGACGCGAAAGCGUGGGUAGCAAACAGG